rnacentral:rRNA from 1 species
UUAAGCGACUAAGCGUACACGGUGGAUGCCCUGGCAGUCAGAGGCGAUGAAGGACGUGCUAAUCUGCGAUAAGCGCCGGUAAGGUGAUAUGAACCGUUAUAACCGGCGAUUUCCGAAUGGGGAAACCCAGUGUGAUUCGUCACACUAUCAUUAACUGAAUCCAUAGGUUAAUGAGGCGAACCGGGGGAACUGAAACAUCUAAGUACCCCGAGGAAAAGAAAUCAACCGAGAUUCCCCCAGUAGCGGCGAGCGAACGGGGAGGAGCCCAGAGCCUGAAUCAGCAUGUGUGUUAGUGGAAGCGUCUGGAAAGGUGCGCGAUACAGGGUGACAGCCCCGUACACAAAAGCGCAUGUGCUGUGAGCUCGAUGAGUAGGGCGGGACACGUGGUAUCCUGUCUGAAUAUGGGGGGACCAUCCUCCAAGGCUAAAUACUCCUGACUGACCGAUAGUGAACCAGUACCGUGAGGGAAAGGCGAAAAGAACCCCGGCGAGGGGAGUGAAAAAGAACCUGAAACCGUGUACGUACAAGCAGUGGGAGCACAGGUUUACCUGUGUGACUGCGUACCUUUUGUAUAAUGGGUCAGCGACUUAUAUUCUGUAGCAAGGUUAACCGAAUAGGGGAGCCGGAGGGAAACCGAGUCUUAAUUGGGCGUUAAGUUGCAGGGUAUAGACCCGAAACCCGGUGAUCUAGCCAUGGGCAGGUUGAAGGUUGGGUAACACUAACUGGAGGACCGAACCGACUAAUGUUGAAAAAUUAGCGGAUGACCUGUGGCUGGGGGUGAAAGGCCAAUCAAACCGGGAGAUAGCUGGUUCUCCCCGAAAGCUAUUUAGGUAGCGCCUCGUGAAUUCAUCUCCGGGGGUAGAGCACUGUUUCGGCUAGGGGGCCAUCCCGGCUUACCAACCCGAUGCAAACUGCGAAUACCGGAGAAUGUUAUCACGGGAGACACACGGCGGGUGCUAACGUCCGUCGUGAAGAGGGAAACAACCCAGACCGCCAGCUAAGGUCCCAAAGUCAUGGUUAAGUGGGAAACGAUGUGGGAAGGCCCAGACAGCCAGGAUGUUGGCUUAGAAGCAGCCAUCAUUUAAAGAAAGCGUAAUAGCUCACUGGUCGAGUCGGCCUGCGCGGAAGAUGUAACGGGGCUAAACCAUGCACCGAAGCUGCGGCAGCGACGCUGAUGCGUUGUUGGGUAGGGGAGCGUUCUGUAAGCCUGUGAAGGUGUGUCGUGAGGCAUGCUGGAGGUAUCAGAAGUGCGAAUGCUGACAUAAGUAACGAUAAAGCGGGUGAAAAGCCCGCUCGCCGGAAGACCAAGGGUUCCUGUCCAACGUUAAUCGGGGCAGGGUGAGUCGACCCCUAAGGCGAGGCCGAAAGGCGUAGUCGAUGGGAAACGGGUUAAUAUUCCCGUACUUGGUGUUACUGCGAAGGGGGGACGGAGAAGGCUAUGUUGGCCGGGCGACGGUUGUCCCGGUUUAAGCGUGUAGGUGUGUGUUCCAGGUAAAUCCGGUUCACUUUAACACUGAGGCGUGAUGACGAGGCACUACGGUGCUGAAGCAACAAAUGCCCUGCUUCCAGGAAAAGCCUCUAAGCAUCAGGUAACAUCAAAUCGUACCCCAAACCGACACAGGUGGUCAGGUAGAGAAUACCAAGGCGCUUGAGAGAACUCGGGUGAAGGAACUAGGCAAAAUGGUGCCGUAACUUCGGGAGAAGGCACGCUGACACGUAGGUGAAGUGAUUUACUCACGGAGCUGAAGUCAGUCGAAGAUACCAGCUGGCUGCAACUGUUUAUUAAAAACACAGCACUGUGCAAACACGAAAGUGGACGUAUACGGUGUGACGCCUGCCCGGUGCCGGAAGGUUAAUUGAUGGGGUCAGCGCAAGCGAAGCUCCUGAUCGAAGCCCCGGUAAACGGCGGCCGUAACUAUAACGGUCCUAAGGUAGCGAAAUUCCUUGUCGGGUAAGUUCCGACCUGCACGAAUGGCGUAAUGAUGGCCAGGCUGUCUCCACCCGAGACUCAGUGAAAUUGAACUCGCUGUGAAGAUGCAGUGUACCCGCGGCAAGACGGAAAGACCCCGUGAACCUUUACUAUAGCUUGACACUGAACAUUGAGCCUUGAUGUGUAGGAUAGGUGGGAGGCUUUGAAGUGUGGACGCCAGUCUGCAUGGAGCCGACCUUGAAAUACCACCCUUUAAUGUUUGAUGUUCUAACGUGGACCCGUAAUCCGGGUUGCGGACAGUGUCUGGUGGGUAGUUUGACUGGGGCGGUCUCCUCCUAAAGAGUAACGGAGGAGCACGAAGGUUGGCUAAUCCUGGUCGGACAUCAGGAGGUUAGUGCAAUGGCAUAAGCCAGCUUGACUGCGAGCGUGACGGCGCGAGCAGGUGCGAAAGCAGGUCAUAGUGAUCCGGUGGUUCUGAAUGGAAGGGCCAUCGCUCAACGGAUAAAAGGUACUCCGGGGAUAACAGGCUGAUACCGCCCAAGAGUUCAUAUCGACGGCGGUGUUUGGCACCUCGAUGUCGGCUCAUCACAUCCUGGGGCUGAAGUAGGUCCCAAGGGUAUGGCUGUUCGCCAUUUAAAGUGGUACGCGAGCUGGGUUUAGAACGUCGUGAGACAGUUCGGUCCCUAUCUGCCGUGGGCGCUGGAGAACUGAGGGGGGCUGCUCCUAGUACGAGAGGACCGGAGUGGACGCAUCACUGGUGUUCGGGUUGUCAUGCCAAUGGCACUGCCCGGUAGCUAAAUGCGGAAGAGAUAAGUGCUGAAAGCAUCUAAGCACGAAACUUGCCCCGAGAUGAGUUCUCCCUGAGACUUAGAGUCUCCUGAAGGAACGUUGAAGACGACGACGUUGAUAGGCCGGGUGUGUAAGCGCAGCGAUGCGUUGAGCUAACCGGUACUAAUGAACCGUGAGGCUUAACCUU